rnacentral:rRNA from 1 species
AUUGAACGCUGGCGGCAUGCUUUACACAUGCAAGUCGCACGAAGGUUUCGGCCUUAGUGGCGGACGGGUGAGUAACGCGUAGGAAUCUAUCCAUGGGUGGGGGAUAACACUGGGAAACUGGUGCUAAUACCGCAUGAUACCUGAGGGUCAAAGGCGCAAGUCGCCUGUGGAGGAGCCUGCGUUCGAUUAGCUAGUUGGUGGGGUAAAGGCCUACCAAGGCGAUGAUCGAUAGCUGGUUUGAGAGGAUGAUCAGCCACACUGGGACUGAGACACGGCCCAGACUCCUACGGGAGGCAGCAGUGGGGAAUAUUGGACAAUGGGGGCAACCCUGAUCCAGCAAUGCCGCGUGUGUGAAGAAGGUCUUCGGAUUGUAAAGCACUUUCGACGGGGACGAUGAUGACGGUACCCGUAGAAGAAGCCCCGGCUAACUUCGUGCCAGCCGCCGCAGUAA